GCGCCGUUGGUUUUAGUGGUAAAAUAUCUCGUUGCCAUCGAGAUGCCCGGGUUCGAUUCCCGGACGGCCGCA
rnacentral:tRNA from 1 species